rfam:Drosophila melanogaster chromosome 3R.
GCCUCUUUAGCUCAGUGGCAGAGCACUGGUCUUGUAAACCAGGGGCCGUGAGUUCAAUUCUCACAAGAGGCA